UACGUAGGGUGCAAGCGUUGUCCGGAAUUAUUGGGCGUAAAGAGCUCGUAGGCGGUCUGUCGCGUCUGCUGUGAAAACUCAGGGCUUAACCCUGAGCUUGCAGUGGGUACGGGCAGACUAGAGUGCGGUAGGGGAGACUGGAAUUCCUGGUGUAGCGGUGAAAUGCGCAGAUAUCAGGAGGAACACCGGUGGCGAAGGCGGGGU
rnacentral:rRNA from 1 species